rnacentral:rRNA from 1 species
CGAACGGGGAUAUAUUGGAAUGAGGAUUCGUCUGAAGGAAAAUGUAUCUUAGUGGCGGACGGGUGAGUAACGCGUGGGCAACCUACCGUAUACAGGGGGAUAACACUUAGAAAUAGGUGCUAAUACCGCAUAAGCGCACAGCAGUGCAUACUGGAGUGUGAAAAGCCGAGACGGUAUACGAUGGGCCCGCGUCUGAUUAGCCAGUUGGCAGGGUAACGGCCUACCAAAGCGACGAUCAGUAGCCGGCCUGAGAGGGCGGACGGCCACAUUGGGACUGAGACACGGCCCAGACUCCUACGGGAGGCAGCAGUGGGGGAUAUUGCACAAUGGGGGGAACCCUGAUGCAGCGACGCCGCGUGAGUGAAGAAGUAAUUCGUUAUGUAAAGCUCUAUCAGCAGGGAAGAAUAAAUGACGGUACCUGAGUAAGAAGCCCCGGCUAACUACGUGCCAGCAGCCGCGGUAAUACGUAGGGGGCAAGCGUUAUCCGGAUUUACUGGGUGUAAAGGGAGCGUAGACGGCGAUGCAAGCCAGAUGUGAAAGCCCGCGGCUCAACUGCGGUAGUGCAUUUGGAACUGUAUGGCUGGAGUGCAGGAGAGGCAGGCGGAAUUCCUAGUGUAGCGGUGAAAUGCGUAGAUAUUAGGAGGAACACCAGUGGCGAAGGCGGCCUGCUGGACUGUAACUGACGU